GUGCACAUUUCAUUGCCUUUUUUCUUUAUGUCAAGAGAAAAGGUAUUUCUGAUGUGCUAAGCAAACCUGUGCAGAUGAAUCAGCAGCAUGACUUAGAGUAGCCAUUGCUGCCAGUCACCUUCAGACAAGU